UUCAAUUCAUUAGACCUUCCCCUUCCCCAUCGAGGGGAGAUUGAAUUGUUCGGUCAUAAUAUUUAUGUGGGACCCAUCUAAAAGUUAGCCAAACAGUUUGCUAUAUCAAACAAACGACGGCUCAUUUUUUCUUUUUCUUUCUUCUUAAUAAAACAAGGUUCUCCAACACUAAUUACUUUUAAAAAUCUACCAGAGUGGCAGCCUAACCCUUUAUUUCAACCAAUUUCCGUCAAACGUAGAAAUAAACAACUGAAAAAGAAAAAUUCCCAUAAAAGUGAAAAACCUAAUGGACCAACACUAUGGAAAAAUGAAACUUCCUCUGUUUCAAACUCUUAAAAAUCCUCGACCUAGAAAAAGAAAAAGGAUAAGAAUAUAAGGGAUGCAUCAAGUUUUUUCUACUUUUAACCUUAAUUGAAGUUUCAAUUUUGAUGAUGUUUCAAUUUCUAUAUACUAACUCUGAAAAAUCCUUAACCCAAAUUACUAGGAUUAAGAAAAAAAAAAGGGAUACAUCAAGUUAAUUCUUAUUCUUGAUUGAAGUUUCAAUUUUGAUGAUGUGUUCCAAUUUUUGAAGAGACAAAUAUCGCCGGUUCCACAUGUGUCAAUGCGGUAAAUGAAAAAUCAGUAAACCAAGUUGUUUCAGUAACCAAUCGAAGAAAAACUGCAAAUCUGCUGACCUGUCUCAUCUGAAGACAAGCUCAACAAUUUGAUAGAGAGAUUCUGACUUCUGAGUGCUAUAGCUUAGGUGACACAUAAAAUGGAGACGAUUGAAAAGAAGUCAUGUGAAACCUGCUUUUGAAAGGUUAUAUAAUGGCUACUCUCCUAUACAAGUGCUGGGCUUCCAUUUCAAUCAGCAAUGAAAAGGUUGGGCAGGGAAGUUUUGGCAACAGAAAAUGCAUGAGAGUUUUCAUCUGCUGAAAAAGGAGAGACACUCGAAGGUAGUAAUGUAGUAUUAGCCGGAGCAAUGGAUGAGAUUCCGGUAUGACAAAGCAAUGUAAUGAUGUGGUUAGCUGGUUAGAUGAUCAUUCAAAGUUGCUUAAAAGGAUUCUGGUUUUGCAAUACUGCCUUGCUAUCGGAUCUUUGUUAUUCCGGUUAUCAGAUGAAUUUAGUGCUGCUGGCUUAAAGUCAAGAAUAUGUCAUAUGUGGACAUUUUUUUUUGGGAAAAUGUUAUAUGAUGUUUUUUUUUUAUUUGAA